GUGCUCACUUCAGCAGCACAUAUACUAAAAUUGGAGUGAUACAGUGAAGAUUAGCAUGGGCCUUGUGCAAGGAUGACAUGCAAAUUCAUGAAGCAUUAAAAAAAGAA
ensembl:snRNA U6 U6 spliceosomal RNA